rnacentral:rRNA from 1 species
CAGAGACUGAUAGGAUGGAAAGAAAGAUGCUUAUCUUCAAGUGGGAAAGAGGUGCUCUUGAAAUCAGUAGCGCAAGCAAUACCAACUUAUGUGAUGUCCAUCUUCAAACUUCCUAAUAAAAAAUGCAAAAGAAUCACAGAUGCGAUGUCUUGUUUUUGGUGGGGUGAUGAUACAACUCAAAGAAAGAUUCCUUGGUUUGCCCGUGGAAGAUGUGCAUACAAAGAAGAAAGGGGAACGGGGUUUAGGGGUAUUCACUGCUUUAAUCUAGCACUCCUAGCGAGACAAGUGUGACGUCUCAUCGACAAAACAGAUUCAUCAUGUGCAACUAUUCUAAGGCUAAAUGUUUACCAGAAGGUGGGCGCCUUAUGA